rnacentral:rRNA from 1 species
CCUACGGGAGGCAGCAGUGAGGAAUAUUGGUCAAUGGGCGCAAGCCUGAACCAGCCAAGUCGCGUGAAGGAUGACUGCCCUACGGGUUGUAAACUUCUUUUAUAAAGGAAUAAAAUAAGGCACGUGUACCUUUUUGUCUGUACUUUAUGAAUAAGCAUCGGCUAACUCCGUGCCAGCAGCCGCGGUAAUACGGAGGAUCCGAGCGUUAUCCGGAUUUAUUGGGUUUAAAGGGAGCGUAGAUGGGUUGUUAAGUCAGUUGUGAAAGUUUGCGGCUCAACCGUAAAAUUGCAAUUGAUACUGGCAGCCUUGAGUACAGACGAGGUAGGCGGAAUAAGUUGAGUAGCGGUGAAAUGCUUAGAUAUAACGUAGAACUCCGAUAGCGAAGGCAGCUUACUAAACUGCCACUGACAUUGAAGCACGAAAGUGUGGGUAUCGAACAGGAUUAGAUACCCGUGUAGUC